AUACGGAGGGGGCUAGCGUUGUUCGGAAUUACUGGGCGUAAAGCGUACGUAGGCGGACUGAUCAGUUGGGGGUGAAAUCCCAGGGCUUAACCCUGGAACUGCCUCCAAUACUGUCAGUCUUGAGUUCGGGAGAGGUGAGUGGAAUUCCUAGUGUAGAGGUGAAAUUCGUAGAUAUUAGGAAGAACACCAGUGGCGAAGGCGGCUCACUGGCCCGAUACUGACGCUCAGGCGCGAAAGCGUGGGGAGCAAACAGGAUUAGAAACCCUAGUAGUCC
rnacentral:rRNA from 1 species